rnacentral:rRNA from 1 species
GAUGGACGCUGGCGGCGUGCCUAAUACAUGCAAAUCGAGCGAAUGGAUUAAGAGCUUGCUCUUAUGAAGUUAGCGGCGGACGGGUGAGUAACACGUGGGUAACCUGCCCAUAAGACUGGGAUAACUCCGGGAAACCGGGGCUAAUACCGGAUAACAUUUUGAACUGCAUGGUUCAAAAUUGAAAGGCGGCUUCGGUUGUCACUUAUGGAUGGACCCGAGUCGCAUUAGCUAGUUGGUGAGGUAACGGCUAACCAAGGCAACGAUGCGUAGCCGACCUGGGAGGGUGAUCGGCCACACUGGGACUGAGACACGGCCCAGACUCCUGCGGGAGGCAGCAGAAGGGAAUCUUCCGCAAUGGACGAAAGUCUGACGGAGCAACGCCGCGUGAGUGAUGAAGGCUUUCGGGUCGUAAAACUCUGUUGUUAGGGAAGAACAAGUGCUAGUUGAAUAAGCUGGCACCUUGACGGUACCUAACCAGAAAGCCACGGCUAACUACGUGCCAGCAGCCGCGGUAA